rnacentral:rRNA from 1 species
ACUAUCGUUAACUGAAUACAUAGGUUAACGAGGCGAACCGGGGGAACUGAAACAUCUAAGUACCCCGAGGAAAAGAAAUCAACCGAGAUUCCCCCAGUAGCGGCGAGCGAACGGGGAGCAGCCCAGAGUCUGAAUCAGCUUGUGUGUUAGUGGAACGGUCUGGAAAGUCCGACGGUACAGGGUGAUAGUCCCGUACACCAAAAUGCACAGGUUGUGAACUCGAAGAGUAGGGCGGGACACGUGGUAUCCUGUCUGAAUAUGGGGGGACCAUCCUCCAAGGCUAAAUACUCCUGACUGACCGAUAGUGAACCAGUACCGUGAGGGAAAGGCGAAAAGAACCCCGGCGAGGGGAGUGAAAAAGAACCUGAAACCGUGUACGUACAAGCAGUGGGAGCACCUUCGGGUGUGACUGCGUACCUUUUGUAUAAUGGGUCAGCGACUUAUAUUCUGUAGCAAGGUUAACCGUAUAGGGGAGCCGCAGGGAAACCGAGUCUUAACUGGGCGUUAAGUUGCAGGGUAUAGACCCGAAACCCGGUGAUCUAGCCAUGGGCAGGUUGAAGGUUGGGUAACACUAACUGGAGGACCGAACCGACUAAUGUUGAAAAAUUAGCGGAUGACUUGUGGCUGGGGGUGAAAGGCCAAUCAAACCGGGAGAUAGCUGGUUCUCCCCGAAAGCUAUUUAGGUAGCGCCUCGUGAACUCAUCUUCGGGGGUAGAGCACUGUUUCGGCUAGGGGGUCAUCCCGACUUACCAACCCGAUGCAAACUACGAAUACCGAAGAAUGUUAUCACGGGAGACACACGGCGGGUGCUAACGUCCGUCGUGAAGAGGGAAACAACCCAGACCGCCAGCUAAGGUCCCAAAGUCAUGGUUAAGUGGGAAACGAUGUGGGAAGGCACAGACAGCCAGGAUGUUGGCUUAGAAGCAGCCAUCAUUUAAAGAAAGCGUAAUAGCUCACUGGUCGAGUCGGCCUGCGCGGAAGAUGUAACGGGGCUAAACCAUGCACCGAAGCUGCGGCAGCGACACUAUGUGUUGUUGGGUAGGGGAGCGUUCUGUAAGCCUGCGAAGGUGACCUGUGAGGGUUGCUGGAGGUAUCAGAAGUGCGAAUGCUGACAUAAGUAACGAUAAAGCGGGUGAAAAGCCCGCUCGCCGGAAGACCAAGGGUUCCUGUCCAACGUUAAUCGGGGCAGGGUGAGUCGACCCCUAAGGCGAGGCCGAAAGGCGUAGUCGAUGGGAAACAGGUUAAUAUUCCUGUACUUGGUGUUACUGCGAAGGGGGGACGGAGAAGGCUAUGUUAGCCGGGCGACGGUUGUCCCGGUUUAAGCAUGUAGGCUGAUUGUCCAGGCAAAUCCGGAUAAUCAAGGCUGAGGUGUGAUGACGAGGCACUACGGUGCUGAAGUAACAAAUGCCCUGCUUCCAGGAAAAGCCUCUAAGCAUCAGGUAACAUUAAAUCGUACCCCAAACCGACACAGGUGGUCAGGUAGAGAAUACCAAGGCGCUUGAGAGAACUCGGGUGAAGGAACUAGGCAAAAUGGUGCCGUAACUUCGGGAGAAGGCACGCUGGUGUGUAGGUGAAGUCCCUGCGGAUGGAGCUGAGACCAGUCGAAGAUACCAGCUGGCUGCAACUGUUUAUUAAAAACACAGCACUGUGCAAACACGAAAGUGGACGUAUACGGUGUGACGCCUGCCCGGUGCCGGAAGGUUAAUUGAUGGGGUUAUCCGUAAGGAGAAGCUCUUGAUCGAAGCCCCGGUAAACGGCGGCCGUAACUAUAACGGUCCUAAGGUAGCGAAAUUCCUUGUCGGGUAAGUUCCGACCUGCACGAAUGGCGUAAUGAUGGCCAGGCUGUCUCCACCCGAGACUCAGUGAAAUUGAACUCGCUGUGAAGAUGCAGUGUACCCGCGGCAAGACGGAAAGACCCCGUGAACCUUUACUAUAGCUUGACACUGAACAUUGAGCCUUGAUGUGUAGGAUAGGUGGGAGGCUUUGAAGCGUGGACGCCAGUCUGCGUGGAGCCAACCUUGAAAUACCACCCUUUAAUGUUUGAUGUUCUAACGUUGGCCCCUGACCGGGGUUGCGGACAGUGUCUGGUGGGUAGUUUGACUGGGGCGGUCUCCUCCCAAAGCGUAACGGAGGAGCACGAAGGUUAGCUAAUCCUGGUCGGACAUCAGGAGGUUAGUGCAAUGGCAUAAGCUAGCUUGACUGCGAGCGUGACGGCGCGAGCAGGUGCGAAAGCAGGUCAUAGUGAUCCGGUGGUUCUGAAUGGAAGGGCCAUCGCUCAACGGAUAAAAGGUACUCCGGGGAUAACAGGCUGAUACCGCCCAAGAGUUCAUAUCGACGGCGGUGUUUGGCACCUCGAUGUCGGCUCAUCACAUCCUGGGGCUGAAGUAGGUCCCAAGGGUAUGGCUGUUCGCCAUUUAAAGUGGUACGCGAGCUGGGUUUAGAACGUCGUGAGACAGUUCGGUCCCUAUCUGCCGUGGGCGCUGGAGAAUUGAGGGGGGCUGCUCCUAGUACGAGAGGACCGGAGUGGACGCAUCACUGGUGUUCGGGUUGUCAUGCCAAUGGCACUGCCCGGUAGCUAAAUGCGGAAGAGAUAAGUGCUGAAAGCAUCUAAGCACGAAACUUGCCCCGAGAUGAGUUCU